ensembl:lncRNA
CCCUGCCCCAGCUAGUGCGGGUUCUAAUCCUUAGCCCCGAAAGGCUCCACCUACUAGUUUACUAAUAGGAAACACCUGCCCUCGAGAUGGUCGUUAACCUGAGGGACUGUGAGCAGCACGUGUCCAAGCGACUGGUUGCCCUGGUAACCUAGCUGACGUCAGUUCCCCCCUAUAAGCGAUAGCAUUCCCUCGCCCCGCCCUCAGUGGUGAAGAUGAUGGCCCCGUAGCAGUCACCGCCUGCCGCAGACAGUGGUGUGUUGCUCCAAGACCUGGCUUCGGACAUGGGCAACUCGAGAACCAGGCAGAAGGGCAGCUGCUGCCUGGGAUCGGAGGCUUUGGAGUCAGCUCCUAUGGAUGCCGAAUCGGAGGCCCUCCCAUGCCCUGCCUCGGCUGUUUACGAACUGCAACGGCACGUUGUAUCGUGCUCCACGGACUGUAGCCCACCAGGCUCCUCUGUCCAUGGGAUUUCUCAGGCAAGAAUACAGGAGUGGGUUGCCAUUUCCUCCACCAGGGGAAUCUUCCAAUCCAGGGAUCGAACCCGAGUCUCCUGCAUUGGCAGGCGGGUUCUUUACUGCUG